rnacentral:rRNA from 1 species
AGAGUUUGAUCCUGGCUCAGGAUGAACGCUAGCGGCAGGCCUAAUACAUGCAAGUCGAGGGGCAGCACGGUAGCAAUACUGGUGGCGACCGGCGCACGGGUGCGUAACGCGUAUGCAACUUACCCUUUACAGGGAGAUAGCCCGGGGAAAUUCGGAUUAAUAUCCCAUAGUAUAUAGAUUUGGCAUCAGAUUUAUAUUAAAGAUUUAUCGGUAAAGGAUGGGCAUGCGUGUCAUUAGCUAGUUGGUGAGGUAAUGGCUCACCAAGGCGACGAUGACUAGGGGUACUGAGAGGUUACACCCCCACACUGGUACUGAGACACGGACCAGACUCCUACGGGAGGCAGCAGUAAGGAAUAUUGGACAAUGGGCGAGAGCCUGAUCCAGCCAUGCCGCGUGCAGGAUGACGGUCCUAUGGAUUGUAAACUGCUUUUGUAUGGGAAUAAACCCAGAUACGUGUAUCUGGCUGAAUGUACCAUAAGAAUAAGGAUCGGCUAACUCCGUGCCAGCAGCCGCGGUAAUACGGAGGAUCCAAGCGUUAUCCGGAUUUAUUGGGUUUAAAGGGUGCGUAGGCGGGACAGUAAGUCAGUGGUGAAAUCCUAUUGCUUAACAAUAGAAUUGCCAUUGAUACUGCUGACCUUGAGUACAAAUGAUGUGGGCGGAAUGUGCAGUGUAGCGGUGAAAUGCUUAGAUAUUGCACAGAACACCGAUAGCGAAGGCAGCUCACAAAAAUGUAACUGACGCUGAGGCACGAAAGUAUGGGGAUCAAACAGGAUUAGAUACCCUGGUAGUCG